rnacentral:rRNA from 1 species
AAAACUUUCAACAACGGAUCUCUUGGUUCUGGCAUCGAUGAAGAACGCAGCGAAAUGCGAUAAGUAAUGUGAAUUGCAGAAUUCAGUGAAUCAUCGAAUCUUUGAACGCACAUUGCGCCCUCUGGUAUUCUGGGGGGCAUGCCUGUUCGAGCGUCAUUG